UUGAGACAACUGAGGGAGUAGAGUCAAACAUGGGCGUGCCAUAUAACCAGUAGYUAUAUAUCCAAAUGAUUUCCCAGUGAAAACUCCUUAACCUAGCUUCGUUCAUCUGUAAUAUCAGCACAUGAUAUACUGCUGAAAAUAAUACCUUUUUACCAGCCAUAACUAAAUGGUGCACCUCUGGAUCAGAACCUGGAGAUGCUGUUUGAAGUGGAAGUAACCAGGAAUUUGAUACCAGAUAUGAAGGGAACUCUCUGCUAGGAAAUGCCUGCCACUGGGGAAAGCCRUUCUACAAUCUUUGCCUUGCCUGGUGACAUCUUCUCAACAAUGGCAUAUCUUCUAUCUUCUGYAGGCUACGAGACCACCUCCCACUGCCCUACGUCAGUGAAAGGCUCCCGGCACUCCCUGCAGCCUGAAAUCUGCAGAGCUACACCCUCCCGCUGAAGUUCCAUUUGAAAGGUUUAGAAUGGAAUAGAUCCGCCGAUAUAACCGGGCUUGACGGCAGGCUUCAGGUCCACCCAGUCCAGUGUCCUGUUAGAGGCCAGACGAAGAAGGCAAGGGAAAGAGUGUGAGAAUGGUGCAAACACYGAUAGUUAAUUCACCAGAUAUAUUCUUCCUUCCUUUCCUAGCCCUUGGCUUACAGCCUUUCCGAGCCCACAGUUUUCAUAUACAAGAGGUAUCGAUGGAUUUUUUUUUUUUCCUUCCAAUCAUGUCUAACACUUUUGAAUACUGUGCUCUGUAAUGCCUGCAAAUGUAGUGGGGUACAUUUUYCCAUUCUGGGAUCCACAAUUUUGCUGAAAGAUGAGCUCCACAGAGUAGUUAUGAGUCAUCUGAGGGGGGAAAAAAGCACACGUCUUUUUGGUAGUUUGAAGUUUUCUGCUUUGUAGCUUCAUGUGCUUCUCUGCCAUUCUUGGAUUAUGAAAACUAAGACAUAGUAAUUUUUUAUCUGCUUUCUCUGUACUAUCACAGUUUUAUAAACCUUUAUCAUAUUCUUUUUCAGCCAUCUGUUUUUUCAAGCUGAAGAGUCUUAGCCUAUUUAAUCACUUUUCACAGAGAAGCUGUUCCAUAUUUCUGCUCAUCCUAGUUGCCCUUCUUUGUAUCAUUGCUAUUUUCUUUUAGAGAUGGUAAGACUAGAAAUGCACAUCAUUCAAGAUUUGUGGAGGCACAAUGGACUUGCAUUCAGCAGAAUGCUGUCUUCUGUUUUGCUUUCCAUCCCUUCCAUAGUGAUUCCUAACACUCUAUUUCCCUUUUCUUUUACUGCAGCUGUGAUUUCUACACACAGUGAUUCCACUUUAUUUUUUCCCCUAAUAGCUGAUUGAGAAAUAAUUCUUGUAAAUUAUUUGCUUUUGUUUCUCUUUGAAAGUAUGUUCAGGAAUUUUGCCAGCACUUGCCUGGGCACUUCUCAGGCCUAGGAACUUGAUGACUAUUGGGUAACAUCUGAAGUUUAGUUGUGAAUAGAUGUGGAGUCAUAUUUGGAUUGCCACACAAACUUUACUGUAAAUAUGCUAAAGACAUUUGGGAAUAAAAUUAACUGAAGCAGGCUGCCAGUUAAUGCAACCUCUCAACAGCAAAAAUAGAGAUAGUAGGAAAGAGUGUUUAUCUUUGAAGACAUUGGACAAUAAGACUGCUCUUGCUAACUUGGGUAGACGAGCUCGAGUAUGUUAAAUAAAAAGUCCUGGAAGCAGAAGUGGUGUGGCACAAUAUCAAGGAUUUAAGGGCUCAUCAGGAAGACUCAAAACUGUGUGAUCAUUGUAYAGAUAAGAUUGUUAGCAUUUAAAAUAAUGAGCAGUAACCAGCAGGGGUUUCUUUGGUWCUGGGCAAGCAAUUUUAAAGAAAAUAAAGUGUCUCUAUCGUGUAACAAUUAGUGUACCAAUUUCACAGUUGGUACUUUGCUCCUUCUCRGGAAUUCAAUACAGAAAAGAAAUUGUAAGAAAUAACUGGAAACAAAGAUUACAGGUUUUGUUUUACUCUUCUCUGUUUCAAUGUAGACAUUUCCCAAAUUUUUUAGAAUAAUGAUUGCUUGAAGAUCUGCAGAAAAUUAAGUGAUUCUGUACAUCUUAGGCCAUUUUGAUCUACUUCAUUUUAUUCAUCUGUUAAGGAAAGGUAAUAUUUACUUACAUAACUCAGGAACACUGAGUGAUAAUUAAUGCUUACAAGAAGURGUAUGAUUUAAAUGAAUAGCUAUGAACUUCCAAAGGAUUAUUAAUUUUAUUAUCAUUGUUAUUACUGUACUGAGCUAUUGGAAAUUACUAAAAGAUAGGCAAUUACUGUGGAUUUUCUUGAGAUGACUUUGUAGGGUGUUAAAAGAAGAGUGUUACACUGCAGAAAGCUUAUAAUGAAGUUAUAAAAGUGAGAUUACAUGCCAUCAUUUAAAAGGGUAUUGUCCAUCCUUUAAGAAAAAAAGUAAAAAUCAUGAAUAAAUACCACAUGAAUAAAAUA